ensembl:lncRNA
GUUCAGGGUAGCGUUUUGAACACAUGCUUCGCGUUGUGCCGGCGAAACGCACAUUUCUUGUCGCGUUGUGCCGGCGAAAUGCACACUUCUUGGACCCCUGCAUAACUGCUUGCAGUUCUAGUUAGGGGUCCAAGCCAACAGGUUGGAUCCCUAUUGUUUUUGUAAGGAUUUUUAUUAUUAGGGGUCCAAGCCAACAGGUUGGAUCCCUAUUGUUUUUGUAAGGAUUUUUCUUAUUAUUAUUCUUACCCCCCUAAAAGUGGGCCCACACCCCAAACUGUAAAUGGUGCCGACACGCAAAUUGCAUGACUAGGUCCAGAUCUGUUCGGACUAAGCAGACGACAAAAUCCAGACAUGCCGGCCACUAGGUGGCGCUAUACCAAGGAAUACGCGUUUGGGGCUAUAACUCCCACACCGAACCUCCCACAUUCAAAACCUUGUACACACAGAUUCACUGGAGUCUGAUGCAUCUUUUGGCAUAGGCCACGCCCAUUUGCGUCUGCAAUUUUUUUUCGCAAAAUCGCGAAAACCGCAAAACUGUUUUUUCCCUACUCCUCCCACAUUUCUUGACCAAUCGACACCAAACUUUGCACACGAAAUCCUCAGACGCACACGCAAAGGAAUCGUGAAACAGUUUUUUGAUCCGACCUUCGACGACGAAACGGUAGAGUUUUGAAUAUUGGUUUAUGAGCUAAAUUAGACGUGGAAAAUU